rnacentral:rRNA from 1 species
CCUACGGGAGGCAGCAGUGGGGAAUAUUGGGCAAUGGGCGAAAGCCUGACCCAGCAACGCCGCGUGAAGGAAGAAGGCUUUCGGGUUGUAAACUUCUUUUGACAGGGAAGAGCAGAAGACGGUACCUGUCGAAUAAGCCACGGCUAACUACGUGCCAGCAGCCGCGGUAAUACGUAGGUGGCAAGCGUUGUCCGGAUUUACUGGGUGGAAAGGGCGUGUAGCCGGGCUUACAAGUCAGAUGUGAAAUCCGGGGGCUCAACCCCCGAACUGCAUUUGAAACUGUUGGUCUUGAGUAUCGGAGAGGCAGGCGGAAUUCCUAGUGUAGCGGUCAAAUGCGUAGAUAUUAGGAGGAACACCAGUGGCGAAGGCGGCCUGCUGGACGACAACUGACGGUGAGGCGCGAAAGCGUGGGGAGCAAACAGGAUUAGAUACCCCUGUAGUC